GACGAACGCUGGCGGCGUGACUAAUACAUGCAAGUAGAACGCAGUUGCGAACGGGUGAGUAACGCGUAGGUAACUGCCUGGUAGCGGGGGAUAACUAUUGGAAACGAUAGCUAAUACCGCAUACUACCAGCUGGACCUGCGUUGUAUUAGCUAGUUGGUGGGGUAACGGAUCACCAAGGCAACGAUACUUAACCGACCUGGGAGGUGUAUCGGCCAAACUGGACCGGAGACACGGCCCAGACUCCUACGGGAGACAGCAGUAGGGAAUCGUCGGCAAUGGGGGGAACCCUGACCGGGCAACGCCGCGUGAGUGAAGAAGGUUUUCGGAUCGUAAAGCUCUGUUGUUAAGGAAUCGGUACUUAACCAGAAAGGGACGGCUAACUACGUGCCAGCAGCCGCGGUAAUAC
rnacentral:rRNA from 1 species